AUUGAACGCUGCGGCAGGCUUAACACAUGCAAGUCGAGCGAUCGGCGGACGGGUGAGUAAGGCUUAGGAAUCUGCCUAUUAGUGGGGGACAACAUCUCGAAAGGGAUGCUACUACCGCAUACUAAUAGAUGAGACUAAGUCGGUUUAGCUAGUUGGUGGGGUUAAGGCCUACCAAGGCGACGAUCUGUAGCGGGUCUGAGAGGAUGAUCCGCCACACUGGGACUGAGGAAAGGCCCAGAUUCCUGCGGGAGGCAGCAGUGGGGAAUAUUGGACAAUGGGGGGAACCCUGAUCCAGCCAUGCCGCGUGUGUGAAGAAGGCCUGAUGGUUGUAAAGCACUGUAAGCGAGGAGGCGUUACUCGCAGAAUAAGCACCGGCUAACUCUGUGCCAGCAGCCGCGGUAAUUC
rnacentral:rRNA from 1 species